rnacentral:rRNA from 1 species
AUUGAACGCUGGCGGAAUGCUUUACACAUGCAAGUCGAACGGCAGCACGGACUUCGGCCUGGUGGCGAGUGGCGAACGGGUGAGUAAUGUAUCGGAACGUGCCCAGUCGUGGGGGAUAACGUAGUGAAAAUUACGCUAAUACCGCAUACGAUCUAUGGAUGAAAGCGGGGGAUCGCAAGACCUCGCGCGAUUGGAGCGGCCGAUAUCAGAUUAGGUAGUUGGUGGGGUAAAGGCCCACCAAGCCAACGAUCUGUAGCUGGUCCGAGAGGACGACCAGCCACACUAGAACUGAGACACGGUCCAGACUCCUACGGGAGGCAGCAGUGGGGAAUUUUGGACAAUGGGCGAAAGCCUGAUCCAGCCAUUCCGCGUGCAGGAUGAAGGCCCUCGGGUUGUAAACUGCUUUUGUACAGAACGAAAAGGUUUCUACUAAUACUAGGAGCUCAUGACGGUACUGUAAGAAUAAGCACCGGCUAACUACGUGCCAGCCGCCGCGGUAA